rnacentral:rRNA from 1 species
GAUGAACGCUGGCGGCGUGCCUAAUACAUGCAAGUCGAGCGAACAGAUGAGGAGCUUGCUCCUCUGACGUUAGCGGCGGACGGGUGAGUAACACGUGGAUAACCUACCUAUAAGACUGGGAUAACUUCGGGAAACCGGAGCUAAUACCGGAUAAUAUAUUGAACCGCAUGGUUCAAUAGUGAAAGACGGUUUUGCUGUCACUUAUAGAUGGAUCCGCGCCGCAUUAGCUAGUUGGUAAGGUAACGGCUUACCAAGGCAACGAUGCGUAGCCGACCUGAGAGGGGGGAUCGCCACACCGGGACUUGAACACCGGCCCAGAUCCUUAGGGAGGCGGCAGUAGGGAAUCUUCCGCAAUGGGCGAAAGCCUGACGGAGCAACGCCGCGUGAGUGAUGAAGGUCUUCGGAUCGUAAAACUCUGUUAUUAGGGAAGAACAAAUGUGUAAGUAACUAUGCACGUCUUGACGGUACCUAAUCAGAAAGCCACGGCUAACUACGUG